CUCGAGAAUCUGCUUCCCCGCGGCGCGACGGAGUUGUUUAAGUAUCAGGUGCUGGUUGAUCAUCUGCGCCUGGAGGAUGCGAAGCUGAUCGCCGAUGCUUACCUCCACUCUCCUACCCCCUUCACUGACACGAUGACUGCUUUGAACGAGAAGUAUGGCCAACCGCACCAGAUAGCCCUGAGACGCAUCGCUGCAGUGAUGGACUCACCAGACAUCCGACGCGGGGAUCUCAUAGCAUUUGAGAGGUUUGCACUCCACAUACAGUCGCUCGUGGGGAUGUUAAGUACCCUGGGCACUGAGGGAGAAGUGGAGUUACGGUGUGGCUCCCAUGUGGCUCGCCUGCUGAGUAAGCUGCCACCGGAGCAACGGGCGGAAUUCCGGCGCUGUAUGUUCCACCGGGGCACGCGUACCCACACCUUGACUGAUUUUGCAGAGUGGCUGAAAUACGAGUCAUGGUGCCAGGAUGCUGACGGACAGGUAGCGGCGAGAGGAGUGAAGGAGAGACCGGUGGCCAAGACUGAAGUCCGGUCGAGCAGGCGGGUCACCACGGUGCUCCAUGGAGCCAAUGAAAGCGAGAAGCGACCUGAGACUUCGUCGCCAGGGAGGUCCUCGAGAGCCAACCGGACCAAACCCUACUGUCCGUACUGCAAUAACGAGGACCACUACCUUAGUCAGUGUGGAGCGGUAUCCAGGCUGACUACGGACCAGCUAACCGACUGGAUAAGGAGAAAUAAGAGGUGUUGGCGCUGUGCCCGGUCGCAUCAAGCGGCACAAUGCAACCUGAGGAAGCCCUGCAACCUAUGUCAAGGAAAACACCUCCGGGUGCUGCAUGAGGUGAACGCAAAGUCAUCGAAGGAGGCACGAACGCUUCAGUCAGUGGAGACCCACGGCGGCAGGCCAACAACGGAGGUGCUUUACCUGGACAGACCCACCGAGGGAAGCCGGGUGCUGCUGAAGGUCGUCCAGGUCCGACUCCAUCAUGGCAACCGGACUCUCAACACCUAC
rnacentral:lncRNA from 1 species